GACGAACGCUGGCGGCGUGCUUAACACAUGCAAGUCGAACGGUAAGGCCCUUCGGGGUACACGAGUGGCGAACGGGUGAGUAACACGUGGGUGAUCUGCCCUGCACUUCGGGAUAAGCCUGGGAAACUGGGUCUAAUACCGGAUAGGACUCCUGCCUGCAUGGGUGGGGGGGGAAAGCUUUUGCGGUGUGGGAUGGGCCCGCGGCCUAUCAGCUUGUUGGUGGGGUGAUGGCCUACCAAGGCGACGAUGGGUAGCCGGCCUGAGAGGGUGACCGGCCACACUGGGACUGAGAUACGGCCCAGACUCCUACGGGAGGCAGCAGUGGGGAAUAUUGCACAAUGGGCGCAAGCCUGAUGCAGCGACGCCGCGUGAGGGAUGACGGCCUUCGGGUUGUAAACCUCUUUCAGCACAGACGAAGCGCAAGUGACGGUAUGUGCAGAAGAAGGACCGGCCAACUACGUGCCAGCAGCCGCAGUAA
rnacentral:rRNA from 1 species